CAAUGAAGAGAGAGAGGCUGCCCAAAGGUUUAACAGAAAAAACACCCUACAAACUAGUCAUUUUAGUGUGGUUACAUGUCAUGGAUAGAUCACCAGAACUGUUAUCAGCAGUGACAGUUCAGUUCUCCAUCACUGGCAAAUUCAGCUAAAAUGACAAAGGGUGCGAUCCACUGGAAUAAAUGAAAAUACACUGAUAAACUAUAGAUGACUUGAAACUAUGUAACAUCUGUCCAUGCAAGUGUCAUCCUUAUAAUCCCAUUCACUUGCGCAAGACUUUGUUCUCUCUUUGUUUUUAAUCUGUAUUUGUACUGUUUCUCAUGCCUGUAUUAACGCAAAACUAAAACUCCACUCCGUGUCAUACCUCUCUAGCAUGACAUAAGCUUGCUGGCAGGGUGGGACAGCUAGUACUGAUCCACAGCUCUGCUUGGUGUGGUGCAGAAGUUUCCAGCCUGCUGGAGUGGUGCACAACAGCCGCAGUUGCCAGGUCUGUCAAGGCGGAGGCAUUUAGCAGAGCUGCAGACAGAUCCUUCAGAUAAGUACUUGAGUGCAGAAACAUCUUGGCUUUCCAACUUCUGCCAGAAACCAGCUGUUUUCAAGGCCUGUUCUCCUGACUGAGAUGUGGGACCAGCAUCAGGAGGCAAAAAGCCUCUGUCAAUGAGAAGCUUGCUGAAGUGAAACACGCCAUAGCAGGUGAAAUUUCCCAGCCUGCAAUGAAUUGACUGCGCCUCUGCUGGAGAAGGGAUGGAACUCAGGACCCACGCUCGGACCACUUGGAGAAGGGUUACUGCUGAAAUGGAUGACUUUUCUGAGCUUAAAAACAGAUCUGACCUCCCUUAAUGGUCCUCUUCUCAGUUUGGAAGAUUAUUAGCCAAACAUGCGGUUGCAUUCUGUGGUUUUGGACCAUGAGAGGACAGGGAUGUUUAGGAAACGUCUUUGCACUGUGUGUUGGAAGGCCAAGCUGAGAAUUUCCUGGGGAGAUGACCAAGAGCCCACUGCAGAAAGCACCACCACAGCCCUUGGAGGUGCCCCAGGACAACAAUCUGUCACUAGGAGCCCUUCUGGGAUGCACAAAAUACACUGUUCUCUAAAGUUGGUAUUGUAGGGCUAUGUGCUUUAUAGCUUUAUUUUUUUAUUUUAUUUUUUUUUGCUUUCCCACCAAUAAAGAUCUCCCUCUGAUUAGUGCACCUCAAUCUAUGU